UACGGGGGGAGCAAGCGUUGUUCGGAUUUACUGGGCGUAAAGGGCGCGUAGGCGGUCGUGACAAGUCACUUGUGAAAUCUCCGGGCUUAACUCGGAACGGUCAAGUGAUACUGUCGGACUAGAGUACAGAAGGGGCAACUGGAAUUCUCGGUGUAGCGGUGAAAUGCGUAGAUAUCGAGAGGAACACCUGCGGCGAAGGCGGGUUGCUGGGCUGAUACUGACGCUGAAGCGCGAAAGCCAGGGGAGCAAACGGG
rnacentral:rRNA from 1 species